AUUUUUAUUUAUAUUUUUGCUAAUUAAUAUAUUGAACUUAAAAUUUGUGAACUGUUAUUUAUGUACAUAAAUUGUAUUAAUUAUUAUCUGUAUGUUUAACCAGAAGGUCUUGAACUACUAACAAAAAAAGUGAGUAUUGGGUAUUUGUGUGUAUAUAUGUGUCCCAAAAGGACUAAGGUUAAGUAUGUAUAUAUACACAGUGUAGGGGUUAUAUUUAGGUGUGAGGUCCUGUGUGAGGUUAGUUGUCCAGAGUUAGGUUAUCUUUAGACAUGUAAUUUUUAAUGUCCAGUUUGGUUUAGAUGGGCCUAGGGUCGGGUUAAGAUUAGGAAUAGGGUUAAGGUUAAGAGUGAGGUUAGGGUUAGGGCCAGGGCUUGGGAAUAGGGUUAAGGUUAGGAGUGAGGUUAGGGUUAGGGCCAGGGCUUAGGAGUAGGGUUAAGGUUAGAAGUGAGGUUAGGGUUAGGGCCAGGGCUUAGGAGUAGGGUUAAGGUUAGGAGUGAGGUUAGGGUUAGGGCCAGGGCUAAGGAGUAGGGUUAAGGUUAGGAGUGAGGUUAGGGUUAGGGCCAGGACUUAGGGAUGGAGUGAGGUUAAGGCUAAGGGUUUGGGUUAGGAUUAGGUUAGAUAAGGUUAGGAUUAGGGAUAUAGGUAUGGGUUAUGGUUAGGGUUAGGUUAAGACCCCUAUGUUCCCAUUUAAUCCAUGUGGAAAUUUGGUUGAGAGCUGUCUGAUCCAUUUGUUUUCCGCUCUAAUCCUCUCACUUUUGUUCCAGGUGGUGACUGACUCCAGGCCGGCCAGGCGGAUGGAAUCAGUGCCAUGGGCCAAAAAAUGACGGACAACUGGGGAGGCGAUUAAAUCUAAGUGUGGAGGAGGAGAACUUUGUGAUGAGAGGGAUGAGCUGCUCCUUUCGCUCGGCUCCUGGCUGUAGAAAAGAGCGGAGACAGGCCCUCAGCUUGGUACGCGAGUAUCCUCUACGCCUCAAGGUCCUAAACAACACUCUAGUAGCUUCGUAGAAGUCACAGGGUCUAGUGCAGAUCCUGUGAAAUCUAAGAAGCUGAGACUUGACAAUGCCUGCAAAAGUGAAGCGGGGAUGAAAGCUACUCCUGUGUAAAAGUGCAUGUGUGUCUGUGGGUUUGAAAAAUACUUUUACAUCCACCUUAUGGGACUGUACAAAAGAUGGGCCUUUAAAGACUGUAGUGUCCAGGAAAUCUACUGAGUGAUAACUGUGGGUGUGUUUAAUUUUGAUAGAUGGAUCAAAUGUAUUCAAUGUGUUUAAAAAGUCUUGAAAUUCCGAUUCAGAAUCCACCCAUAUGCCAAAUAUAUCAUCCAAAUAUCGUAAAUAAUGUAACGGUUUUUUGGGGCAUGUGGCCAAAACUUCAGAUUCCCAUUUUGCCAUAAAAAUGUUUGCAUAAGCAGGGGCAAAGCGUUUGCCCAUUGCUGUGCCUUUAAUCUGUAAAUAAUAUUUUCCAUCAAACAUAAAAUCAUUCCUGGUCAAAUUUAUCCGUAACAACUGUAAUAACUCAUCAUCUGGUCUGGAUUCAUCUGGGAAUUUCAAGAAAAUUUCUUUGACUGCUUGAAUACCUGCUUCAAUUUGAAUAUUGGUAUAUAAUGCAUCAAUAUCAAUAGUAAAAAACAAAGCAUGUGCAGGCACAGCCAAUUCCCUGACCGCUUGGAUAAAAUGGGUGGUGUCUCUGACAUAUGAUGGGUGUUUAAUUGAUAAUGGUGUGAGAUAAAAAUCAAUGUAUUCUGCUGUGGCAUAUGUCUCACUACCACAAUC